CGGCGGACGGGUGAGUAAUGCCUAGGAAUCUGCCUGGUAGUGGGGGACAACGUUUCGAAAGGAACGCUAAUACCGCAUACGUCCUACGGGAGAAAGCAGGGGACCUUCGGGCCUUGCGCUAUCGGAUGAGCCUAGGUCGGAUUAGCUAGUUGGUGAGGUAAUGGCUCACCAAGGCGACGAUCCGUAACUGGUCUGAGAGGAUGAUCAGUCACACUGGAACUGAGACGCGGUCCAGACUCCUACGGGAGGCAGCAGUA
rnacentral:rRNA from 1 species